UGUGAGGUCAGGUGAGGUCUCUGUGAGUUCAGAGAUGGUCUCUGUGAUGUUGGAGGAGGUCUUUAUUAGGUCAGCCGAGGUCUCUGUGAGAUCAGGGGUUUCUGUUAGGUCAGGGGAGUUCUCUGUGUGCUCAGAGAGGGUCUCAGGAGGUCAGACAGCACGUCUAUGAGGUCAGGGUGUUACCAAAAUCAAAGUGGGUUCCCUCCUUGCGACUUAAGUUAGCAUGAGCACUCUUAAGGAGCCCCCAAGCUAUUUGUUUGGGAACCUAAAUCUUCCCCCCUCGGUUUGUCAUCCAGCCCUUGGCUAUCGGGGACCACUGCUAACGCUGUGUAAUAGCUUCCCUUACUUCAUCCAGGCUGUUGUCAACUUGGAGAAUUCUGUGGUUGAAAUGGAGACCCUUCAAGCUCUCUAUGAGACGAUAAACCAGCGAUCUCCACUGAGCUCCUUGGAAGAUGGAAGUUAAAAUGAUUAACACUGCUGCAUUGGAAAUUAAUGACAUGAGAUUGUUCUUACACGUUUUUCACCGUAUUUUACAUAUGAGAUUUCAGUUUGAUUUGUGAUAUCCAAAAAGUGGACUUACUGGAGAACACUUAACAUUUUUGUGUCCACUAUUGGCUUGUAGAGCUUAUGGCUCUUUACUGUUGCAGGGAGGGUCUCUGAGCACUUCUCUCUACCAUUUGUUUUUAGUUUUGCAUGGUCUGGCCAUAUAUACUUUCGUUGGGCAGCUAAAGUAUGCAUAAAAUUUUGUGAGAAUUAUUUUAUAAUUAAAUUAUUAAGAACUUAAUUAAAUAUAACUAAAAUUAUUAUAUAAGAAUUCAAUGCUAACAUUAGGUGAAAUAAGAGUUUAACACAGAAAAUAAGGUACUUUAAGUCCCCUCUCCUAAAAAGGGGGGGUAAAUCACAAAGGCUUUGGUGUUUUCAGAGAAGAUAUGGCAUCCAUUUGUAGCUAGGAGCAUAAACAUUGCUUGAAUGUGUGAAAAUUAGUAAAAGGAAACCUCAUUUAAAUGGAAGUGGGAGGCAAGAAAGGGGGAGCCCUCCCACACUACCACUCACUGUCAGUUACAGACCCCAACAGGAAGAAUCCUCAGCUAUGGAUCGCAACAGGAAGAAACACACAUUGCAAGUAGACACUACUUUAUACUCCAGCAGGAGGAAGGAAGAUUUCCUUCCUUGCCCAGCAACUCAGCCAAGAAGAAAUCGUCACCACGCUGUACUCCUGCUUUCCUGCAGUGGACUUUCAUUCAAAAAAACCCCCUCCUUUUUUUCUAUAAAGUAACGUUCCUCUCUUUUGCUUGUUGGACUUGCCUAUGGAUUUUGCUAUAGCUUGCUUGUCCUAAAUUGCAAUUCCUCUGCUAUUCCUGAGUAAACACAUUUAGCUGGUAAAAUAACUGGCUGUUUCAUUUUUUUUUUUAAGAUUUUAUUUUUUCUUUUUCUCCCCAAAGCCCCCCGGUACAUAGUUGUGUAUUUUAGUCGUGGGUCCUUCUGGUUGUGGCAUGUGGGAUGCCACCUCAGCAUGGCCUGACGAGUGGUGCCAUGUCUGCGCCCAGGAUCCGAACCAGCAAAACCCUGGGCCGCUGAAGCGGAGGGCAUGAACUUAGCCACUCGGCCAUGGGGCUGGCCCCGGCUGUUUUAUUUUUAAGGUUAACAAAUGGAAAGAAUGGGGGAAGAUUGUUGUAUUAUGCCUAUGCUGAAUUUCACACUUCCCUGAGAAAUUCUGGUCAAACUAGUGACCCAUGAUGAGUCACAGGCCUGUCUUCAAUAUUUACUGAUCUGAAACUAAGAGAUAGUCAAGGUUUCUACUAUUUGGAAAGAGAGGAGGGGAGAGGAAUAAUGAGCUACUAUUAUUGCUGUCCUCAAAUUCUUUAAAAAAAGUAGAUGGAAUAUAAAUGUAUAGAGCCUUAAUAAACAAACAUUUUUGGAGUGACUUUUAUGUUGC
rnacentral:lncRNA from 1 species